rnacentral:lncRNA from 1 species
UUGUUUAGUCCUUCAUAGUCAUGAAGGUCUCAAAUGUACAAAAGAAUGUAAAAGGUGAAGGGAUAAGGAAUGAAGAUGAAUUUGUGGGAGAGAAUGGACUUUCAAUGAUUGUUUUAUUCCUCUAGCUCAAGCUUUAGGGCUCUCUAUUCUUUUGCACGAACUCCCCUAUCUUUUUUCUGUAUUUCACUUAAAAACCCUCCUGAGCUUGAGGUUUCACGAAUACAUGCUAGCCGUGAGUAAGUGGUAGGGCGUUAAGUGUGUUAUGUGCGCUAAACGUUCCUUCGCCUGAUUGUAGAUUCUCCAUGCUGCUCCUAAUGCUAAGUGAAAAUCCUCCCACUAAGCGACAACAUCUUGCUAAGCGAGCCUAGUGCACUAAGCGCGAAUUUUUAGACUUCAACUUCUCUUUUUAUCCCUUGCCUGUAUUUCUGCAAAAUAAAAAUCAUUAAAACAAUAUGAAUUAGCAAUUUAAAGCACCUACUGCACAAAAACUCUGAGGAUAUCAAAAUUCCAAUGAUUCACACACAAAAAAACAAAAAAAUGAUAGAAUAUUACUAAUUCUUAUAUGUUUUCAUUACAUAAUCUACUAUGCACAUUGGUUAUCACAUGUAUCUAGCAUAAAUUUUUAACUUUUACAAUAGUAACUACCUUAAGAGUUAUAACAAUAAUAAUUUUUUAUUGUCAGUAAAAAUAGAUGAGUUAUACUUUAGUUGAUUUUAAUAUAUAUGAAAUUCAUCUUUCAAAUUUUAUCUAAAAUGUUUAUCAAACUAACUUUUAAUCAUAUCAAGAAUUACAACGAGAGAAAAAAAUUAUCGACAUUAAAAAAAACUCAAAUGCAAAAUAUAUAUAUAUAUAUAUAUAUAUAUAUAUAUAUAUAUAUAUAUAUAUAGAAAAACGAGAAUAAUAUUUAAAGUAAAAAGAGAAAGACAAACAUCUCUUUGAGAGAAAUGUAACUUGUAAUUCUAGUUUUUUCCCGAUUGCUCUCUUAAGUAGAACCCUAACUAUAAUAACUGUUGUGCUGGAUAAGUACUUCACUACUACUACUAUUCAUA